GAUGAAGAACGUAGCGAAAUGCGAUAAGUAGUGUGAAUUGCAGAAUUCAGUGAAUCAUCGAAUCUUUGAACGCACAUUGCGCCCCUUGGUAUUCCAUGGGGCAUGCCUGUUCGAGCGUCAUUUGUACCCUCAAGCUUUGCUUGGUGUUGGGUGUUUGUCCCGCGUUGCGCGUGGACUCGCCUUAAAGCGAUUGGCAGCCGGCAUAUUGGCCUUGGAGCGCAGCACAUUUUGCGCUUCUAGUCAUGAAUGUUGGCGUCCAUUAAGCCUAUACAUUUGCUCUUGACCUCGGAUCAGGUAGGGAUACCCGCUGAACUUAAGCAUAUCAAUAACGGAGGA
rnacentral:misc_RNA from 1 species